CCUACGGGAGGCAGCAGUGGGGGAUAUUGCACAAUGGGGGGAACCCUGAUGCAGCGACGCCGCGUGGGUGAAGGAGUGCUUCGGCAUGUAAAGCCCUAUCGGCAGGGAAGAAGCAAGACGGUACCUGACUAAGAAGCCCCGGCUAAAUACGUGCCAGCAGCCGCGGUAAUACGUAGGGGGCGAGCGUUAUCCGGAUUCACUGGGUGUAAAGGGAGCGUAGACGGCCAUGCAAGCCAGGGGUGAAAGCCCGGGGCCCAACCCCGGGACUGCCCUUGGAACUGUGCGGCUAGAGUGCGGGAGGGGCAGGCGGAAUGCCUGGUGUAGCGGUGAAAUGCGUAGAUAUCAGGAGGAACACCGGCGGCGAAGGCGGCCUGCUGGACUGCGACUGACGUUGAGGCUCGAAAGCGUGGGGAGCGAACAGGAUUAGAUACCCCUGUAGUC
rnacentral:rRNA from 1 species